rnacentral:sRNA from 1 species
AGACGCCUGCCUCUCGGCCCCUUGCCACAAUGGGGGCACUUGUGUGGAUGCGGACCAGGGCUACGUGUGCGAGUGCCCCGAAGGCUUCAUGGGCCUGGACUGCAGGGAGAGAGUCCCCGAUGACUGUGAGUGCCGCAACGGAGGCAGAUGCCUGGGCGCCAACACCACCCUCUGCCAGUGCCCCCCAGGAUUCUUUGGGCUUCUCUGUGAAUUUGAAAUCACAGCCAUGCCCUGCAACAUGAACACACAGUGCCCAGAUGGGGGCUACUGCAUGGAGCACGGCGGGAGCUACCUCUGCGUCUGCCACACCGACCACAAUGCCAGCCACUCCCUGCCAUCACCCUGCGACUCGGACCCCUGCUUCAACGGAGGCUCCUGCAAUGCCCAUGACGACUCCUACACCUGCGAGUGCCCGCGCGGGUUCCACGGCAAGCACUGCGAGAAAGCCCGGCCACACCUGUGCAGCUCAGGGCCCUGCCGGAACGGGGGCACGUGCAAGGAGACGGGCGGCGAGUACCACUGCAGCUGCCCCUACCGCUUCACUGGGAGGCACUGUGAGAUUGCCAGACUCGUGUGCCUCUGGCCCCUGUCACAACGGCGGCACCUGCUUCCACUACAUUGGCAAAUACAAAUGUGACUGUCCCCCAGGCUUCUCCGGGCGGCACUGCGAGAUAGCCCCCUCCCCCUGCUUCCGGAGCCCGUGUGUGAAUGGGGGCACCUGCGAGGACCGAGGCACAGAUUUCUUCUGCCACUGCCAAGCAGGGUACAUGGGACGCCGGUGCCAGGCAGAGGUGGACUGCGGCCCCCCGGAGGAGGUGAAGCAUGCCACGCUGCGCUUCAACGGCACGCGGCUGGGCGCGGUGGCCCUGUAUGCAUGUGACCGUGGCUACAGCCUGAGCGCCCCCAGCCGCAUCCGGGUCUGCCAGCCACAUGGUGUCUGGAGUGAGCCUCCCCAGUGCCUCG